AACUUACCCCCCACCUAAACAGAUCCAUACAACGCUCAUAUCAACAUUUCCAACAUCUGCUAUAUAAACACGGAAACAAAUGCGGCAGACUCCUCGCUAACCUCCUGAAGCGACGCAGAACCCAACUAUACAUCCCCAAAAUUAAGGACAACACCUAACAAGUCCGCCACCUCCCGGAACAAAUCUCUGCCACAUUCCUCUGCUACUACAAGG